rnacentral:misc_RNA from 1 species
GGAAGGAUCAUUCAAAUUCCAAAACAUACAAUCAACGUUGAACCUAGACCUUGCCUUUACAAGCAAGGGCUCGAGUGGAGCCUUUGGGCUGGUGCUCGGGAACCCCAAUACAAGGGCAAUGCAAAUUGCAAGAAACGAUAUGUCUCUAUAAGCAAAACAACUGUCAGCAGUGGAUACCUUGGCUACCAUAACGAUGAAGAACGCAGCGAAACGCGAUAUUAAUUGCGAAUUGCAGAAUUCAGUGAAUCAUCGUAACUUUGAACGCACUUAUGGCUCUGGAUCUCGUCCUUUGCCACUCCUCUUUGAGUAUCGUAACCCAAACCCCUUUUCAUUGGAAUGUAUGGGAGUCGCACAAGCGUCUUUUGAAACAUUGAUGGCACGAGUGCCAUGGGUUGCCCCUCGUGUACAACGGGAGUUUUGCUUUGAAUGAAAAAUUUGAAAGCAUUUGGUGGCACAUGCUGUGCUUUGCCGUGGUCAAUUUCCAUUUACGGUACAAGAUCUCAAAUGAGGUGAGAUUACCCCCUGAGUUUAAGCAUAUUCGUAAGGGGAGGAAAAGAAACUAAAUAGGAUUCCCUCAGUAACGGCGAGUGAAGCGGGAAGAGCUCAACCUGAGAAUCCCAAAGGGUCUCCUUUUGGGAAUUGUGGGUUAUCGAGGCGUCUUUAGUGAGUGGCCCCGGUCUAAAUCUGCUGGAAUGCAGUGUUCGGAGAGGGUGAGAGCCCCGUCUGUGACUGGGAGACCGCCACGUACAAAGUGUCCUCUGAGAGUCGGGUUGCUUGGGAGUGCAGCCUUAAAUGGGUGGUAAAUUCCAUCUAAAGCUAAAUAUGUAUGGUAGACCGAUAGCGCACAAGUACCGUAAGGGAAAGGUGAAAAGGACUUUGAAAAGAGAGUCAAAAGUACUUGAAACUGCUAAGAGUCAAGGGAUAAGAACUGUUGGAUCGAGUCGUUCACUUUACUUUGCUCCAUUGAAACUCUGUAAGAGGGCGUUUCGAGCCUCUUGCAGCGCAAAGGUGGGGCAAAGGUAUGUGGGCGCGAGUUUGUGUCAGGAUCGAUUUGCGUUGAGAGAAGAUGCACCGUAGUGGAGGUAGAGUGUUGAUCGAAUCUCGGUUCGUGAUCCUUGAAUACACUGUGGACUGCACCUCUUGGUACAGAUCGAGGCCAUUGGUGAUCCUGACCUUAUACGGUUCUUAUUCACCCGUCUUGAAACACGGACCAAGGAGUCUAACGUGCACGCAAGUUUUAGGGUGGAAAACCCCAAGGCGAAAUGAAAGUGAAGGGGUGGCACUCGUCACUUUGAGAUGUGAAUCUUCGUUUGGAGAGGCAACAUCGCCCGGCCAUGUCAUUGGUAUGUGGUUCGAGGUCGAGCGUAUACGAUAGGACCCGAAAGAUGGUGAACUAUGCCUGGGCAGGGUGAAGCCAGGGGAAACUCUGGUGGAAGCUCGCAGCGAUACUGACGUGCAAAUCGUUCGUCAGACCUGGGUAUAGGGGCGAAAGACUAAUCGAACCAUCUAGUAGCUGGUUCCCUC